rnacentral:rRNA from 1 species
CUUUGGGAUAACCCUUGGAAACGGGGGCUAAUACCGGAUAGGACUUCUGGCUGCAUGGCUGGGGGUGGAAAGAUUUUUCGGUCUGGGAUGGGCUCGCGGCCUAUCAGCUUGUUGGUGGGGUGAUGGCCUACCAAGGCGACGACGGGUAGCCGGCCUGAGAGGGCGACCGGCCACACUGGGACUGAGACACGGCCCAGACUCCUACGGGAGGCAGCAGUGGGGAAUAUUGCACAAUGGGCGGAAGCCUGAUGCAGCGACGCCGCGUGAGGGAUGACGGCCUUCGGGAUGUAAACCUCUUUCGGUAGGGACGAAGCGUGAGUGACGGUACCUACAGAAGAAGCGCCGGCCAACUACGUGCCAGCAGCCGCGGUAAGACGUAGGGCGCGAGCGUUGUCCGGAUUUAUUGGGCGUAAAGAGCUCGUAGGCGGCUUGUUGCGUCGGCUGUGAAAGCCCACGGCUUAACUGUGGGUUGGCAGCUGAUACGGGCAGGCUGGAGUUCGGUAGGGGAGACUGGAAUUCCUGGUGUAGCGGUGAAAUGCGCAGAUAUCAGGAGGGACACCGGUGGCGAAGGCGGGUCUCUGGGCCGAUACUGACGCUGAGGAGCGAAAGCGUGGGGAGCGAACAGGAUUAGAUACCCUGGUAGUCCACGCUGUAAACGUUGGGCGC